CUUUUUUACAUUCUUGUGAAGAACAUCCGUGAUCCGUGGCGAUUUGCGCAGAUUGUUAAAGUAAUAGUCAUAGUAAAUACGACGGUCGCGUCGACGAGUGAGCUCAUUAUGCAGAACGAUUGGGAUAACGGAACAUGGAAAAUGCAAGCGAAUACGAUGACCAUGUUCAUGGCGGAGGCCGUCGGUACGGCUAUUCUCUUGCUCUUCGGGUGUAUGGGAUGUAUCGGCACCCUGGGACCCGCACCACCUCCACUGCUGCAAACGGCACUUACUUUCGGUCUGACAGUGAAUCUCGUAAUUAUGACGAUAGGUCACGUAAGUGGCGCUCACAUUAAUCCGGUUAUCACCAUCGGUGCUGUCAUUAUGGGCCUGAAGUCAAUUCCGACCGGCAUGGUUUACAUCCUGGGACAGCUUAUUGGCGCCACUGUGGGAUAUGGAGCUUUAAAAAUGAUAACGCCAGCGGAAUUGUUCAAUGACGGAAACUUGAAUGUGAAUGCGAGUCUUUGCGUUACAACUGUUCAUCCAGAGAUUAGCUGCGUGCAAGGUUUAUUAAUCGAGGUGUUUUGUACAACUUGCAUACUUUGCGCGGCUUGCGCCACGUGGGAUCCUCGAUGCGCUCACAUUACGGAUUCGGUCGCCCUCAAAUUCGGCCUCACCGUCGCCACACUUUCCUUCGCUGCGGGUCCUUACACUGGGUGCAGUAUGAAUCCAGCACGAUCAUUUGCGCCUGCACUUUGGAAUAAUGAUUGGAAGGAUCAUUGGAUCUCCAGUUCGCACGACGAUCUCGAUGGCGUAAUCCUACAUGGCUGGUCGUCCGAUUGCGCAAUUCCGCCAUAAUUUAUUCGGUGAAUACGACGGAUUUGCACCGGCGUGGCCAGGCAAAAACAUCGUACGUGUAACCGGCAAAGGUUCAUCAACCUUCACCCAGCGACACACUCUCGCCGGCUGGGACUUGGUCACGGAUACGAUCGAUAGCGGGGCGUUUCGUCGACGUUUCGAGAAACUCGCGUCCCAGGCGGUACGCACACACCUGCGUGCACCCCGGGACUUGAAAAACGCCCAUCGUCGUUCCCGUGGAAAAGGUAUACCGUAUACUUGCAGCAUUGUCGUGCCACAAGUGUCACGGGGCAGAUCGUUGCAAACCGGCUGGCCCCGCGCGACCGGUUGGCCGAAGAUUUGAGAUCCUGAAAGCCCACCAACCCUACUGCAACAUCAUCCUCGACGUGACUACCGAGUUCAAGGUCGCGCGAUACCGGCGAGGCAACUAAAAUUAGUUCAGCGGGCAGGUUAUCUAUGCGCUCGGGGUAGCCACGACGUUGUGAACAAAGAAUUCGUUAUUUAUGUAACGAGUUGAUGAGGGUGAACCGCGGUGCCACGAUGACGAAAGAAAAUCUCUCGAGACCUCUCUCUCUCUCUCUCUCUCUUUCUCUCUGCCUCCCUCUCGAGGGAGAGAAUAUUGCGACGCAAUAUACUCUCCUUUCUUUUCCCUCUCAGCAGAUCGAAGUUCUGCGCGGCGCGCGAUUAGGGUGGGGCAGUUUUCGUACCAUGUUGCGUAAUAGACGUUCACCCUUUGCACGAAGUUAUUAUAAUGGCUGUGCGAUGAAGUAUAAACAACUUGCUGGGUUUAAUAUAGACGACGAUGCGAGGGAAACUGUCUAACUUUACACAGCUAUUCUUUAUUUUGUUACGUUGUAGAUACUAAAAAAAAUUUUUUACUGGAAAAAAAAACUUGAGUUAUAUACUAUCAUUGUAGCAUAAGUUAUAUUUACGCGUAAUUUACGCGAAGAUAUUAAUAUCAGAGUAUCACGAGAAUUAUAAUAUACAAUUCUUUUGAUAAUUUACAAUGAAGGAACAACGGUUUUGUUAAGCUUUCUUAUCAUGAGUCAUGAUUUACACGAAGGUAUUAAUAUCAGAGUCGCAAGAAUUAUAAUGUAAAUUUUUUUAUAACUUGCAACGAAGAGCAAUGAUUUUUAUUAAUCUUUACGGUAUAAUUUCCAUUUUUAUCGUUAGUCAACACAAUCGUGGAGAAGGAAUUAAUGGAUGAAAUGUAUAAUCGAUGCGUUUAUUUUGCUGGGUCGGAGACAGCGUACAUUUGCGCACUUUCUAUAUGUCAUAUCUAUAACUCACUUCGUGCAUCUAUCGAUUAGCUACUGCAGCUGAACCUCGAAUGUUCUGGAACACGGUGGAAACACCUAAACUGCAAUAUCUACGCUUAUAGCGUCAAUUUGCCCAUUACGAAAAUAUCCGAUGAAAUCCGUUCCUUUCCGCAAGAGAAACAAUUACUAUUAUUAGCUGCUAAUGUAAGUUGUUAGAAUAUUUUAAACAUUAAAUGUCUAUAUGUAGAACGUAUUAUAUGUUCUUGGGUAAUUUAUUAUUCAAUACAUUUACAGAGCUAUAUCGUGGACCACUCACAAUCAGAAUGUGAUUACCGCAUAAAAACCACACACCGUAUCACUUGUUCUAUAAAUAUACUUUAUGAGCGAUGCGUUGAAUAACAAAUUUAAUCCAAGAUAUUCAGAGCGCAUAUAUCGUCGAGUUACACACGACAUUUCCUAACUGUAAGUACACCCAAUUAAUCAUUUUCUCGAGAUUGAAAAAAACGUGAUCUCGAUUUUCUAGCUGUAUGAUUUUCUAACUGUAAAGUAGAUUUGUUCCAGUGACCUGUCAGAGGAUCGAAAAAACGUGCUAAUUGAAAGUCCGCAUUCAUUAGCGACGCACGCUAACUGUAUACCAUCUUCGUUCCAACGAGAUCGGUAAAAGGAGGAGACGUCGUUGAGAAAGUUCCCACAGAUGAUCGCGCGCGCUCCCAUUUGAUGCAACAUAGUUGGCAACCGUCUAGCAUUUCAUUACGCCGCUCUGAAUGACACCUGAAUGUAACGAGGUAUCACACGGCACAUUGUGCAUAUUUCUAUGAAGUAUACAAGUAGUUCCGUUCACCCUACCCACCUCGUCGUGCCUCUAAUCCGCCGGCCGUUGUUAACGGCCGACAAAAAGACGAUCUCUCGCAGGGAGAGGGAGAGAAAGAGAGAUAAGUAUCUGGCGCGCGCGGCACGACCCUCAUAUAUAUCUCUCUGAAUAAAAUUGCAUUAAUUGCGUCUACUUAAAAAGGAGCGGCCUUUGUGGAUACGUUCGGGCCGGGCUAACGAGCGGCGAUAUGAAAAGGAAAUCGAUAGAGCGGUACAUGAUACACCGAAAGAGGAACGAACGUAAUAUUAUGCAACCCGGUUGUAACGCCGCUAUUAUAUACGCCGUUGCCCGGCCGCGCAUCAUCAGAGCCGUUGCAAUCUCUAACGCGAGCGCGAAUUUAUUCAUCUUCCUUUUCUCUCUCCCUCCCUCACUCUCUCUCUUUCUUUCCACAAUUACGCAUCUUCAGACAGAAAAUCGUCCUCGCGACCCACAUCUUCUGCUCUGAGUGCUCCCGAAAGUGGGCUGACGCUACGUUGCGUAAUGAUGUUUGCGUCUCCGAUUGUCACCGGCAAUCUCGCGUUUGCAUCGAAAUUGCUCAUUCUCACGCUAUCGCCCGUACGUGCGUAUGUACAUACGUAAAAGACACGCGCGUGAGUCAACCCGGCCGACGCGUGUGUUUGCAAACACACGCGUCGGCCGGGUCCCGGCUGCGCCUUCAAAUCUCGUAAAAAUAGCUGUCGGUCGCCUCAAGAGUCUGAUAAAAAAAACUGCGUCGAAGCGGCCACAAGGUCGCUCCAAGCUGCGAGCCUGGCUGCGCAGUACGGAAAUCCCACCACAAACGCGCGCGCCUUCCGACCGUAGAAACUACGUUUUAACGUUUCAGCGUGGCGCACGCACGCCAAUUUCGCAAUAUUGGAUCACGACGUGUGGCGUCCCUUUCUCCUCCCUUCCUCUCUCGCUUUUUUUCUUCCCUACGCGUCUCUCGGCGUUCGUUUACAAAACACUCUCGAAAACAGCCUCUAAUCUGUUUACUAACGAUAACGGCCUCUCCCCAAUGAUAACAGAAUCCUCAUUAUCGCGCGUCGCAUACAGAAUGCAAAAAUCGCCACGUCCAGGAUGUCUCUCUCUCUCUCUCUCUUUGAUCAACAUAAAUCAAUCAUCCCGUGGACGUGAUCCUUCCGAGUAAUAGUUCGGACAAACAAAGGGCCAAGGUUGUCCUACUGACACCCGCGCGGCGAUGUCUUCGCUGCGCAGUAGGUUCCAACGCGGUCAUUCUUUCUUUUUAAUCUAUCCGGUCCUCCCGCAGGUCGUUCUCUUCUCGAGAUACGAGACGAUGCGCACGUAGGUACAGCCGCACGAGAUCAACGACGAACGAGGAGGCUACGCUCACGUUAUACAAGCGAUGUUAUAUCACACACCGGUUGACCGUGCUAAUGGGAGCGGGGGCGAUGAGGGAGAGGGGUCUCUUUCUCCUGUAUGUGUGUGUGUUUGUGUGGGUUGGGUGAUAUGGUGGGGUCUCCGGUCGGAGCUGAGCGAACGUGCCAGAAAUCCCGUCGUCCCUGCCGACCGGGGACCCGAUCAAUACUUUGGCAUCUGCUGAUUUCCUGGUCAUAACGUGGGAAAAACAGAUCGGCCAAUGCACCGAUCGACAGAUCUCGUCGCGGUGGUGCCGAUUGUCGUGGUCCCGACCCGGGCCGGACGCCGGCAAGGCCCGAAACGAUCGAUCGCCGGGAAUUGCGCAUUAGGCGACGAGGCGGAGUGAGGACGCGGUCGGAGAUCUCGAAGCUUCCUCCGCGUUGCGACGCCGCGGCGGCGCGCGCCUAUAUAAGGCGGCCGGCCGGCCAGCCGCGGCGCAUUCGUAAACAAACCCUGGUUCAGUUUGGACGCUGCGAACACCCGAAGACCCCCCUUCACCCACCACCAUCAGUGUAACACACUUCGGCUUCUUACUUCGUCGAGACCGCCGGCACGGGAAAAUGUAGGCGAGCGGGCACCAGGUGCGGAGCGCGACAGUUUACCUGCACCCUACGGGGUCGGUGCUUGAACAAUCCGUACGCGACGAUAACAGCCGUGAUUAGAAGUUGAAAUUCCUUCACUCUUUGAACAAAUAUGAGAAGAGAACCUCGAGAUAUAGUUUAGAGCAGACUCGUAGUGUUUGAUCCGAAAUCGUCGAACGACCAUCUGCCUCUUCUAGUACUACACGCUGAGGCGCAGCAUUGGGAACGUCGGGAUCGAAAAGCAAAAAUCAAAUAUGUAACGUAAGCCGCAUUAGCUAUAACAAAGACGAGAGAGGGGAGAGAGAGUGAAAGAGCGAGAGAGGGGAAUAGUGGAGGAGAGAGAGAGAGAGGGGGGAGGCUCCGUUCGUUCGCGGUUGAUUCCGCGAAUGAGGGAGCGGGGCGGAUGUUAACGCGAACUGUCUCGGCUCGAUCGAGCUUACCCUUUUGGGCGCCGUGAUUGUUAGUACACCAUCCGAGGAGAGAGUCGAAGUGAUGUUGACGAGAUCGUGAGUCGGGGGCAGGACGUAUCUGCGUACGAAGUGUCUGCUGAUGUAGCCGUGCUCGUCCUGCUUCUCCUCGUGCUUGGCCUCGACAACGACGUAAUUGUCAACCGUCUUCACCGUGAUCUCACUCGGUGAGAACUGUUGCACGUCCAGUAUCACCUGCGGAUCAGAGAGCGCCGUUAACUUACUCGGGAUAUCCUCUCUCGUCACCGCCACCGAGGACAGAAGUAUCUCGCAUCCUACCGUGAGCGAUCGCGAAACCACCCGUCAUGCAUCCAUAGUGCGAAAGUUAAGUAUCGACAUCACACCUGUACGAGCUUACUCCGAAAAAAAAAAAAAGAAAAAAUUAUGAUCGACCUUUGAGCGAUAAGAGACCCGCCACCCUUUUCUUGUAUUGCGCGGAUUCCUUUUGUUUCGACAUUUUGUUUCUUGUUCUGGCUAACUGAAUUUCCGGAAGAGGAUCUCGAACGCCGCCGUGCACAUAUUCCAGCGCAUAUUCUAAAUCGUACUCUAAAAUAUUAUACGCGUAGGGUUAAUUCACGCACAACAGUUUCGGCUUGCCAUCUGGGAAGCAACGCUUCAUUCGGUCACUUCCACAUUUGUCCCUUCACGCUUCUGCGUUCAGGGGAGCCGCCGAUCAGGUCCGAUUAUUAAAAUUUCCGCGACAGAAGAAAGAAAUGGCAGUACAACCAACGUUUUAGAUCCUAUCCCGCUCGUCAGAUAAGCGCAUCGUGAAAGCACUAAUUUUCCUUUUCGCGUCGCGAUUCUCUCAUGUGUAAUUCUACGCGGUUCCUUUAGAUUUGUCCCGUAUAACAAAAACCAAACCGGGAAAAUGUAGUUGCCGGGCAUACCUACUUGUGUGAGAUUGUUCUUUUUUUUUUUACGAUCAGAAAAAACGAGCAUACAUACAAGUAGGUGAUUCUUCUUUAUUUGUAACUGACGCGUGCGCGGUCGUGCAGGGAGCGAUCGGUCGCGAUCGCGGUGGCUGGUCCCUUUGCGGCCGGCGCGCGAGCUCGCGUUGGGCGAGGAAAACAAGGAACCGAUAAAAUAAAAACAAAGAUAAAAAAAAUAAAAAAAGAAUAGAAAGAGAGAAGAUGAAUAACAUUUUGACAUAGAACGAGGAACUCUAACACUCGACGGUAGUGAGGCAAGCGUACCCGAGUCUCUCCGGGUGAUCCUGCGUGAUCCUGGAGCGGACCUCGGCGAGCGCGAAGAGAUUAGCGGAGGAUAAUUGGCUGUGCAUUUCGAAAAUAGUACCAAAAAAAAAAAAAAACAAGAGUAGAAGAGAGGAGGAGAGAUAAGAGUUCGUGGAGGGAUCUCGCUCCACGAACGAUCGGCUCGAGUGCUGCGCGCGGAGCGACACAUACUUUUGUACAAAUACAGAGAAAUAAAGAGAAACGAAUUCCGCGUAAGAAGGAGGAAAGAUAAAAAAAAAGCACAAAGGUCAUUUUGUACGAUUCUAUUGUUGUGGGUAUUCAAAAAGCAUUUAUUUUUGUAUAGAGAUUAUAAACAGCGGGGGGGUACCGGGGCCCGCGGGUCGCGGUUAACGCGAGCGGCGCACCCUUUGAGAUGAGGGGUGCGUCCACGCUCGUCGUCGGGACGGCACGAGAGCCUCGGUUCUUCCGCUCGAACAAGACUGACUAAAAGCGCGACGCGAUAUAUACAUCCACUCUUUCGGUUGCAUAUUUUAUUCCGUGGCUGCUGCGCGCGAUUUUCCGCGUGCGAAGCACUCCGAACGAAAAAAAAAAAAAAUUGCAAGACAACGUCACGUACGGAAAUUGGUAGUCACCUCGGAUCUGCGGCAGGCAAACCGUGCGCGCGAUUGCGCGAGGAGAAAAUAUCGCGGAAAGAGAAGAGUGAAAAACAACAAAAGAGAAACAAACGCACACAUACACGCGCGCACACACACACACAUACACACAUAUAUGUACACAGUAAGAAUAAAGAGAGGGGGAGGUAAAACGAGAACUGUGGUAAAACUGUGAUUUCAUAGAGAUUCCGAAAACCGGCGUGACUAACCGGAGAUCGUGCAGCGCGAUCGUCCUUUUUUGAUACCGCAUACCUUUCAUAGAACAUUUCCGGCAAACGAGAAGGAUAACUGGUCCCUUCAGACUGGAAAUCUGCUAAUACCGUAAUCAUUACUACACAACCGGACUAUAUCGAAAUAGGGCGAUUAGAUGAACGAUGUAGGAGAAACUAGAUUCUUUUCGGCACAAACGCGGUUUAUUGUAAAAGGGGACUGAUAACGUCGUGGAUAUUUUUUUGACUAUUCGAGCUCUUGCGGGGAAGAGAAAAAAAAAGACGAAGAAAGAAGACAAAAAUACCGUAUUCGCGAAAAAAAGAGAAAAAAAAAACAAGAAAAGUCGUCCCUCCGAUCCGAUUUAUUACUCGCCCUCCCUCCUCCCGAGGAGGGGGGUGCAAAAAACGUCCCCUACCCCUCGUCCCGAAAAUAGUCCCGCUCGAACACUCGUUUCACCAUCCCGAUCUGUCGUGAAAAUCGUGCUGCCGCCCUCUCGGUCGACUUACCGUCGCGAUCGCGGCGAUUACGAAGGCGUAGAUUAAAACGCGUAAAUGCAUAAUACAUGUAUGCGUGUAUGGCGUUAGAGACAGCGGUAGCUGCAGCGACAUAGAUGCAGUCAUCAGUUUUUCGGGCCUUCUGGUGUUCCGGAACUUUUUCGUUCGUUGCUUUUUGUUGUAAGCCACCCUUACGUUGAGUUUCACCCGUCCCUUACGUUUGGUUUCAUCCCCUGCCGGGGUACCUUUUUCUUUUCUAUUUUAACGGCCGCGCGGCUAAUUCGUUCCCCUCAAAAGUAACGUUCAAUUCCGUUCAAGUAAGUAGUUUCCACUUCGAUCUUUUCCGUUAACGCCUUUUUUUCUCCCCCUUUUACCCUUUCUCCCUUUUCUCUUCCCUUUCAUCCCGCCCUUCCCCUUCAUCCUUCCCUUCCUUUUUUUUUCCUUUUUACGAAUGCGCCCUUUCAUCCUUCCCUCUCACGUCAUUCCCGUCAUCUCUUCGGUCAUUUGUCUCCUGCGACUUUUCUAUAUUUCGAAAUCUAGUUACGAUAUUCGCUACUCGUUUUUUCGCUAGAAGAUAAUGUAAAAAGAAAGUAUCUUCCCCUGUAAUACACAUAUUAAAUAUUGUACUUUGUUUCGUAGGCUAUCAUUCGAGGCUUUUUAUAUUCGACACAAAAUUAAUUUUUGCGUCCGAUACAAAACGCACUCGAGCUACAAAUACCAAAAUAAGAAAUAAGGAAAACCACUAAAGAGUUUAAGUCGUGUCUUUUAGCCUAAGUUGUAUCGCACUGAAUGUGUAAUCGAGCACAUUCCGCACGUUUUUUAUUUCUGAAAUCAUCCCGAGAAAAUCAAUGUAAUUAUAGCGCGUCGAGGCAGAGCGGUCUCGAAUUCAUGAAUUUAGAACUGUCAGGUGAAUCGCAUUACAUCCAUGACGAAAUGUGAAUGUAAUUUGAUGAACCGAAGAGGGUACAUACUCGUGAGUUUGGGAGAGUGUUAGGCAAGUUGCACAUCUGUAUUCGACGUAACAACCGUUGCAAAAAAAAAA